rnacentral:rRNA from 1 species
CCUACGGGAGGCAGCAGUGGGGAAUAUUGCACAAUGGGGGAAACCCUGAUGCAGCGACGCCGCGUGAGUGAAGAAGUAAUUCGGUAUGUAAAGCUCUAUCAGCAGGGAAGAAAAUGACGUUACCUGAGUAAGAAGCCGCGACUAACCACGUGCCAGCAGCCGCGGUCAUACGUAGGGGGCAAGUGUUAUCCGGAUUUACUGGGUGUUAAGGGAGCGUAGACGGCAGGGCAAGUCUGGAGUGCAAGGCGGGGGCCCAACCCCCGGACUGGUCUGGAAACUGGACGGCUGGAGUGCAGGUGAGGUAAGUGGAAUUCCUAGUGGAGCGGUGAAAGGCGUAGAUAUUAGGAGGAACACCAGUGGCGAAGGCGGCUUACUGGACUGUAACUGACGUUGAGGCUCGAAAGCGUGGGGAGCAAACAGGAUUAGAUACCCGAGUAGUC